rnacentral:misc_RNA from 1 species
UUAACUAUUAUAUAGUACUCAGACAAUAUUAACAAACAGAGUUUUAGGUCCUCUGGCAGACACUGACCAGCCGGAGCCGGUGGGCCGAAGCCGGGUCUGCCAAAGCAACAAAGGUAUAAAUAAACAAAGGGUGGGAGGUAUACCCCGAAGGGCAACGUCUCUUUAAUGAUCCUUCCGCAGGUUCACCUACGGAAA